rnacentral:lncRNA from 1 species
UUCUCCUGCCUCAGCCUCCGAGUAGCUGAGAUUACAGGUGUGCACCACUGUGCCCAGCUAGUUUUUUUAUUUUUAGUAGAGACGAGGUUUCACCAUGUCGGCCAGGCUGGUCUUGAACUCCUGACUUCAAGUGAUUUGCCCACCUCAGCCUCCCAAAGUGCUGGGAUUAAAGGUGUGUACUGCCACACCCAGCUCUUUUUAUUUUUUUGAACUUUUCUUGAAUCACUAUCUUCAGAGGGUGAUUUAAAUAGUUAAUUAACCAAUUAAUAACAAAUAGUUAUUCAUAUGAAUAAUGAGGUAAGUCAUUAAAUGAUUUAAAUAAUCAUUUUAAGACUUUCAGUGCAGGUGGGUGAGGACAUGGGCGCUUGUUUCAGAAACCCCUGUGGUAAGUGCCACCCAUUGCAGCCUUUCACAGGUGUCUUCUAAAUGGCACCUCACAUAAGCGUGCAAGGGAAGAAUGAGGGCCCUGCUUUAUAGAAGAAGAAAUGAGGUGUGGCGAAGCCUCUCUUAAGUGAUUGAGCUGAAAAACUGAACUCAUAUCUGUGCAGCUCCAAAGUCUAUGCUUUUUCAACUACACCAAACACCCUAAGUGCCCAAAACAAACCAAAGAACACUACUGUAUUUUGCAUCUACAUGUAAGUUGUAAAUCCAUUGAUCCUACCACUUUUUACUGUCCUUACCCCUACAUGUCCAUUUUUCCCUCCUCACCUUUACUAAAUCUUACAUCAUUAAAAUCUGCAGUGUAGAGUGCUUCCUCAUGUACAUUCUUGCCUAGUCCAUUUUGCGCUGCUAUAGCAUAAUACCCGAGAGUAGGUAAUUUAUAAUGAAUGGAAAUUUGUUUGACUCAUGCUUCUGGAGGCUGGGAAGUCCAAGAUCAAAAAGCUGCAUCUGGUGAGGGUAUUCUUACUGUGUUAUCCCAUGGUGGAAGGUGGAAGGACUAGAAACGACACAAGUGAGGAGAAGGAAAGGGGCUGAAUUCAUUCUUUUUUUUCUUUUUUUUAGACAGAGUCUCACUCUGUUGCCCAGGCUGGAGUGCAAUGGCAUGAUCUCAGCUCACUGCAACCUCCACCUCCCGGGUUCAAGUGAUUGAUCCACCUGCCUCAGCCUCCCACAGUGCUGGGAUUACAGCCGUGAGCCACCGCACCUGGCCUGAAUUCAUUAUUUUAUCAGGAGCCCACUCCUAUGAGAGUGACAUUACUCCAUCCAUGAGGGCCGAGCCCUCAUGACCCAAUCACCUCUCAAAGCUCCUGCCUCUCAAUGCUGUUGCAUUGGGGAUCAAAUUUCCAACAUAUGAACUUUGGGGAACAGAUUCAAACCUCAGUAUCUCUAAACUCUCUUUUCUCUCUCUUAACUAGUCAGUCUUACUUGCCAAGCAUCCACCUCUGGUAAAACCCAGAUCUCCACCCAUCUUAAACCCAUGCCCAGGCCACUGACCGUGGCUGGAGAAAAGUACAUGCUGGAUGAUAUAUGCUCCAGUGGUCCUCAACCUUCUCCAGACAUCCUUUGAAGUGCCCCUGGGCCUUCCCUCCUACUGUGUGCUUUCCUCCAACCUCACACCCUACUCCCAGCUCCUUCCUCUCAAGUGGUACCAAUGCUUCCUGUUUCCCCUAAAGCCCUCCAAAGAGAGCACCCGAGCUCCCCUGCCCUUCUGCCUUUACAGAACAGUCCCACUCCUGUGUAAGGACUACAGUCAUGUCCUCCCCCACCCACUCACCUAGCCCUGGCCUUUCUCCCUCUCUCCUGCAUCAUCAAUUCCUCUCUCUACUGAUUCAUUCAAACACAAGGUUCCCUCUCAACCCCAUCUUCAUGCCGCUACCACCCCAUUUCUUUCCUUCUUUAUAAAGAAGUUUAAACUUCUUAAGAGAGUCAUCUGUAUUCUCCACCCCUAAUUCCUUCCUUCUCAGUCCCUCAUCAAUCCCCUGUAAUAGGACAUUCGCCCUCACCCCUCACCAAAACUGAUCUUGUCACCACUGGCGUCACAUUACCAAACCCAGCGGCCAAUGCUCAGCCCUGCUCCUUCCUGGCCUGUUGGCAUUGGACUAAGCUGAUCCUUCCCUCUGCUUGGAAACACUUUAUUCUCUUGGCUUCUGGCACUUCCCUUUCCCAGGUAUUCCUGGGCCUCACAGGUGGCUCUUUUUCAGUCUUCUCUUCUGGUUCCUCCAUAUCUCCCCAACUUGUGAAUGUUGUAGUACCCCAGAGAUUAUCCUUUGUCUUUCCUUUUUAAUCAACUAUCCUCUCUUGGUGAGCUCAGUCAAUCUACAGCUUUAAACACAUCUAAACACUGCAAACUCUCACAUUUCCCUCUGCAGGCCAGAUGUCUUCUCUGAACUCCAAAGUCAGAGAUGUAUCUGCUUAUUCAACACCUUCACAUACGUAUCUAAUAGACAUCUCAAAAGUGAUACAUCCGAAGUUGAACUGCAUCCAUGAAAGUCCCCUUUUCCCCUCCAAGCCUGCCUUACAUCCCUGCCUUACCUCCAUCCCAGUUACCAGACAUUUCUGUGGUCCAAUUCUUUAGUCCCAAAACCUUGCUGUCACUAAAGUCAGUGGGGUUUCCUCAAACCCCACAUCCAAGCCAUCCACAAUUCACAUCUCCUUUUCCUUUAAAGUAUAUCCAGAAUCUGAUUACUCCUGAGCACUGCUACCAUCCUGCUAUGCACCAUUAUCCUGUCUCUCCUGGAUUAUUGCAAGCACCUCUGACUGGUGGGCUCUGCUUCUGCCUGUGCACCCAGCAGUCUAUUCCCUAUACAGCAGCUAUAGCAAACCUGUUAAAACUCAAGUCAGGUAGAUGAUACUCCUUUGCUGAAAAUCCUCUGAUGACCAGACUGAAAGCCAAAGUCCUUAAAAUGAUGUGGGAUGCCCGCAUGAUCUGGCCCCUGUCCCCUGUUGGUCCUCAGUUCCUCCUACUCUUCCCCUUACUCUCUCUGCCACAGUGACCCUUUCUGUUCCUUGAGCAUACCAGGCAUGUUUCCGCCCCAGGGCCUUUGCACUGGCUGUCUCUCUGCAUAGGAGCACCUCUCAGCUAUGAAUAUGGCUCACUCCUUCAAGUCUUUGGUUGAAUAUUACUUUCUCAGUGAGGCCUUUCCUGAGAAACGUAUUUGGAAUUAUAGCACCUUAUAUUUCCAAAUUCUGUUUUCCUGGUUUUAUUUUUCUCUAUAGCAUUUAUCAUCAUCAGUAUACUAUAUUUAUCAUUUUGUUGACUGUCUCCCCUAUUAGAAGAUAAGUCCCUUGAAUGGAGGGAAUUUGACUGGUUUGUUUGGUACUGUAUCCUCAGAGCCUAGAGCUGUGCCUGGCACAUAGUAAGUGCUCAGUAAGUAUUUGUUGGAUGAAUGAAUACUCAGCCCAAUUCUCUGAGAUGCCCACAUCCUUUCUUGGUAAGAAGUCAGCUGUUUCAGAAGCCCCCAGUGUCUUUCAGGUUAGAGUGGCAAAAAGUCUAAUGGUUAGUAUUCUCUGCCCCUUGGGCCUUGUAUUUAUAAUAGUGCCAGGCCUGAACUCUAGUGAACCUUAAACUCCAGACUAGGCUUGAUCCACUUUCUCCCACCUUCCAGGCAUGUGCAUAAACUCAAGGAUCAGAAGUAAAAUCAAAGAGACAGCCCUACUCCAAACCACCUGCCUGUUCAGGGUCCUUCCAGUUGUUAUUCUUCUCUGUCUUCCUUGAACUUGUCAUCUGGCUUUCCUAGGAAGGAGAGUAUGGCCAUCCAUCAGUGCCCUGGGCCGGCCCAUUCCUUGGACCAAAUCCUACCAGCAAGCAGAAGAAUGGCAGCUGCUACCCAGCUCACCCCACAGGCAGGGCCUGUGUCAUGGAGCUCAAGAACCAGGAGUUCUCAGUAACACAAUGGAAAUGAUGGUACCCAGCUCACCGGCUCUGAUUCUCUCUUAAUUUCCAAUACAACCAGAAUCUGGGGAUGGGAAAGGAGGAAACAGAAGAGGAAGGGCUAAGGAUGAAGCUAAGGAAAUAGGAUUUCCCCUUUCCCUAGGGAUGCCAUCAACUGUGUCUCCAGGAGAUUUAAAGGGCAGGGAACAUCACACACCGGGGCUUGUUGUGGGGUGGGGGG